rnacentral:lncRNA from 12 species
CUGCAUUGAUCCCUGGGUUUGCUGGGACCAAAGUAAGUGUUGCCCAAUAAAACCGUCUAUGACACUCCCCUCCCAACAUACACAUACCCAAGUGUGCCCUUUCCCUCCUGCCUUUUUAGUCGCUCGGGGUAAAUAUUGAUCUGCCUCCAGGUUACCUCCUCCCUGAAUGGCCAUUUGCAGACAUUUGCCCCAGCCUCUGUAGGGACUUGAUUUUUGUGUUACUUUCCGGCCCCAUCACCCCCCUUCCUUCCUCCAAGUGGCAUUGUAAAACUCACGGUGACAAAGAGACAGGGUAGGGUUCGAGGCCCCAGUUCCUGAGGACUUGAGGGCUAUUUUACAUACGGGUCAGACACCGCUAGAGGCCAAGGUCAAGUUGAAAGUUGCAGUCUAGCCAGUGUGAGAACUGCCAUGCAAGCCUGGAGAGGAGAGUCAGGCAGCUGCCGCAAGGCCCACUGCCCAUCUCCCUUCUCUCACUCUUGACUCCUUUUUCCUUUGGAAUUACUCUUUCUUGCUCUGUUUGGUUACCCAGCAUUUCCCCCCCCUGCCUUCGUGGAGAUUUUGGGGCGGUGUUUACAGACUCUUCUUCUCUGCCUCCACCCUGCUCUCUUGGCCCGGGCUUCGAGCCUCUUCUGUUUUCCAGCCAGACCCAGAAAAACGAAAACACAGCUCGGGGAGCCCCCACCAGCCGGCGCCUGUGCCAGCUCACCUCUGGCCAUGGCGCAGCUGCUGGUGCACACAGCGGCCAAGGCCAGCUCCACAUUCCUCCCUCCCUCUCCCCCACUUCACCGGAGACGGAGCCCUGCAUGCAGAGGAAGGGCCCCAGCUCCACGGACUGCCAAAGUCGACUGGGUCCCUCCUCACCAAAAAUGGUGAGACAAGAUUUCAUCUUGUCUGCAGAGAAGCCACAAGCAGGCUCCUCAAAAGAACUCACAGAAACACAGAAAGGCCCAGGGGGAGUCUUUUGCUGCUGGAAACAACUCUGCCUGGGACCCAGAAUCCAGAAAUGGUGAGUGGUUUUUCUUCAACCACUGCCCAGGUCCUGUGGCUGGGGAAAGGCUGUGCUGGGUUGCCAGGGGACCCCCUUGCGGCUGCUCCAAGCUAGGGAAAGGGGUGGGCUCUCAGGAAGAUGGGUGAAUAGGGCCACCUGGAAAAUUUAGAUUUCUCC